rnacentral:lncRNA from 1 species
CAGACUUUUUUCAAGUUCCUUCACUUGCUUAGGCAGAGGUUUUACAGCCAAAGAAUCUUAAAUGAAACACACCUGCUGAGGACCAAUUUAUAAGGUGCACUUAUUUGAAACUCAAUCACUCCAAGACAUUGAAGAUUCAACAACCAAGAUUGAACUGUAGGUUUUGACUCAUUAUGGACUCUACCAAACUGACAGGGAUUGUUGGUGCAACUCCCAACCUGCCUCCACGAGAAUAUUUUCUGAUGCCCCUCCACACAAAAGCAAAAUAGGUCAGGAGAACAGAGGAGGGGAGAUUCAGACGCCUGUGUCAGGCCAGUUUCUCUCCCGUGUGGUUCUACGCCUUGAACUGCAAGAGUGCAAAACGUGAGUCUGUCUUACGAAGCAGCAGGAAGCUGCAGGCCGAAGAAAAUGAUCGCCCCUCUCCUCUGUGUCCACGUGUGAGGUGAGCCUGUACAGAGGAAUCUCAAAGAACAGAGACGUCAACGCAUCCUUCAUUCAACCUCCUAUGUAG